AUUAAUUUCCAGGGAUGCACGCAGGCAAGGUGCGUCUCUCUCUCUCUCUGCUACAUACAUCCAUUCAAUGUCUUUCUAGUUAAUUAUUGUUUUUUUUUGUGGAAUUUUGCACUUGGAAAAAUGCCACUCCACUGCACAUUCUCAGUUUAAUUUGGAGGAUCAAUGGUAGCUAGCUAGAGCUACUAGAGACAUACAUGGCGGAUCCUCUGGUGCGAGCGCGACCCAAAAGGAAGAAGGUCUUAGCGGACUACUUGGUGCGACUCCGAUGGAUUCCUGCCCUCUUCGUGGCCCUUCCAAUAUCUGCGCUGAUCUACCUGAGCGUCUUCCUGGUGAACACGUGGUCCGCCAUGAAAUCCGAGAAGCGUCGACAGAAGGAACACCAGGAGAACGUAGAGGGUCGUGAAGCGUCUCAAGGAGAGGGAUCCGAAGAGGGACGGCCUCGUCUGCACCGCGAGGAAGCCGUGGGUGGUCGUGGGCAUGCGCAACGUGGACUACAAGCGCGCCAGACGCUUCGAGGUCGACCUCUCCGCGUUGAGGAACAUCCUCGAGAUCGACGCGGAGAGGAUGGUCGCCAGGGUGGAGCCUCUCGUCAGCAUGGCCCAGAUAACCAAGGCUACCUGCCCCAUGAACCUCUCGCUCGCCGUGGCUCCUGAGUUGGACGACCUUACCGUCGGUGGUCUGAUAAACGGCUACGGGAUUUCGGGGAGCUCUCACGUCUACGGCCUCUUCUCUGACACGGUUGUCUCCAUGGAGGUCGUUCUUGCGGAUGGGCAGGUCGUGAGAGCCACCAUGGACAACGAGCACUCCGACCUCUUCUAUGGCAUGCCAUGGUCGCAAGGCACGAUCGGGCUCCUGGUUUCGGCUGAGAUCAGGCUCGUUCGUGUGAAGGAGUACAUGAGGCUCACGUACACUCCUGUCAGGGGCACCCUCAAGGAGAUCGCGGAGGCUUAUGCUGAUUCGUUGUUCCUGCCGGCAAAGGUCCCUGACUUUGUGGAAGGGAUGGUGUACUCGUCCUCGGAGGGCGUGAUGAUGACGGGCGUGUAUGCCUCGGAACAGGAGGCGAGGAGGACGAAGGGCAGCGGCAGGAUCAUCAACCGUGUGGGCUGGUGGUUCAAGCCCUGGUUCUACCAGCACGCCGAGACGGCUCUCGAGAGGGGCGAGUUCGUGGAGUACAUCCCCACGAGGGAGUACUACCAUCGCCACACCAGGUCCCUGUACUGGGAAGGGAAGCUGAUCAUCCCGUUCGGCGACCAGCUCUGGUUCAGGCUCCUGCUCGGCUGGCUCAUGCCGCCAAAGAUCUCCUUGCUCAAGAUCACCCAAGGCGAAGCCAUCAGGAACUACUACCAUGACAGGCACGUCAUCCAGGAGACGUGCUGCUGCCCCUUCACAGGCUCAGCGACGCGCUGGAGUUUGCUCACCGUGAGCUGGAGGUCUACCCAGUGUGGCUGUGCCCGCAUCGCCUGUUCAAGCUCCCCGUGAAGACGAUGGUGCGGCCGGAGCCAGGAUUCGAGCAGCAUCGCAGGAAGGGUGACACCAGCUACGCGCAGAUGUUCACCGACGUUGGCUUCUACUACGCCCCCGCCCCUGUUCUGCGGGGCGAGGACUUCGACGGCGCCCAAGCCGUGCACCGGCUGGAGCAGUGGGUCAUCAGCAACCACGGCUACCAGGCGCAGUACGCCGUGUCUGAGCUCAGCGGCAAGGACUUCUGGAGGAUGUUCGACGCCUCCCACUACCACCACUGCCGCCGCAAGUACGGCGCCGUAGGGACCUUCAUGAGCGCCCACUACAAGUCCAAGAAAGGCAAGAAGACACAGGAGGAGGUGCUCCAGGCUGAAGCUGAAGCUGCGGAUGCUGACGUGGUCGAUGCAGUGACCAGCUGAAAGAAUCUGUUGUAACUCAGUGAAAACGAGAUUCGAGAGAAUGGAGAGGAAUAGUGCAAAAUGACAGUUGUGUUGGCUUUAUUGCAGGGAAGACAGGUUUAUAUACAUAUGACAUGGGUCAUCCCUAAGGGGUGUGUCCCUUGGGGAUGUGUUUGUCGAGCCCCUUUGGUCACAAAAUAUUGUAACACUCCCCCUUGAUCCAA